rnacentral:sRNA from 1 species
UUAUAUCGUUGGCCUCAGAUCAGGGAGG